rnacentral:piRNA from 1 species
UGGUCACCGUGUCUGUUCUGAUUGGUCGGU